AUGAUGUAGUUGGAUGUCAGUCUGCCAGUAGCAACAGUACAGCAACUCACAACACCUCUGCUCAGACUUAAAAGAAAACAUCAUACAUAGUCACUUCGCAGGAAGGCGGAGGCUAACGGCUUCGCCUCUUCUACAGACUUUCUGCUCAGGUUGCCCUGGAGCUUCCAUCCGCCUUCAGGAAAAUGAUGCUUGUUCAGCGCAGAAAGGAACUCCAGACUGUAUCCACUAUAUGCUACAAGAGGAAGGGAGGAUGUUGCUGGUGUGUGGCCUGCAACUGAAUGACCAAGUUACCUUUACUGUGGAGUGGCAGAAAUGGGAUAAAUGCUCCAUACUUGAUAAGACUUUGAUUCUUGCAGAAGCAAAAUUGCACUGCAGCUUAAAGAACAGAGAAUACUGUGAUUUGCUGAUAUUAUGGUAGCACUGAGUAGGCUGACUUGAGCGUUGUACACAUCUUCAGUGAGGAAAACCAUUCAUUAGCUGCAAAGCUUAAAUCUUCAGUAACUGAAAAGGUUAAUGUAAAGAAUCAGAUUGCUAUUGGAGACAAGGUAUACAUGUUUCAGUUGAUCUACACUUGCACGUAAGAAGAAAGAUGAGCCAAUGAUAGGGAAGGGAAUGAAGCUAUUACUGCAUUGUCAACGGAAAGGAAGUGCUGGAGAUCAGGCUUUGGAAUCAGGAGACCGAGAAACAUAAGUUCUGGUCAGAAAAUUUGGAAAAGGAAUUUCCCACAGAAAAACUGUCAUCUUUAAUCAGAGGAAUGGUGAUUCCAAAGCUGUGAUCUAUAAAUGUGACUGCAGUAUCUCAUUAAAGGUCAGAAUCACCACCUGCCUGAGCAAGUGUGCC
ensembl:lncRNA